UCGGGGAGGGGGUCCAGCUAAAGGAGGACCCUGGAGGAGGUCCAGUUGAGGAGGUCCCUGAGACCUGCCCUUUGGGAGAGGACAGAGAUGGUGUGUGCACACUCUUCUUACACAGGUAUUGAUUUUGACUUCUGUCUUUUGCACCUUGCCCUCAGGUGGUGGUUCUAAACAGCUGCUCCUCGGUCUUUUCUUCACUGGACAUGGUUCUGUGUGACCCGGGUGAUUGCCUGACCCUAACAAGACCCAUAUGAUCUGGGAUACUAGUAAGGAUUUUGGAACGCCUUCCUUCCACUGUGGUGUUCUCUAUACACACAGCAAGGAGGUAGCCUCUGCUGUGAAAGCUUUCGGCUACCUCCACGGUGUCACUGGCAUUACUCAGUACAAGCUGUCCCGGCUGCUCCAGGCCAGAGGUACUAAGCAAAACCCUGGGAUAGCAUCUGGACUGGACUUCAUGGCCAUGGGGGUUGCUGGGUUUUCUGGGGCGGGUCUCUAGCAUGCACUCAAUAAACUUGAGGAUCUGUUCACUGUUUGAA